rnacentral:rRNA from 1 species
GACGAACGCUGGCGGCGUGCUUAACACAUGCAAGUCGAACGGUGAAGCACCUUCCUUUUGGUGGGUGUGGAUGAGUGGCGAACGGGUGAGUAACACGUGAGUAACCUGCCCCCUUCUUCUGGAUAACCGCAUGAAAGUGUGGCUAAUACGGGAUAUUCUGUGCCUGCUGCAUGGUGGGUGUGGGAAAGAUGCGCUUUUGGGUGUUUGUGGUGGGGGAUGGGCUCGCGGCCUAUCAGCUUGUUGGUGGGGUGAUGGCCUACCAAGGAGGUGACGGGUAGCCGGAUUGAGAGGGUCGAAGGUGAAAGUGUGCAUGAGACCCAGCCCAGGAGGCUACGGGAGGGAGCAGUGGGGAAUACUGAACGAUGGGCGCGAGCCUGAUGCAGCGACGCCGCGUGAGGGAGGGAGGCCUUCGGGUUGUAAACCUCUUUGGACAGUGAAGCAGGCCUGUCCCUUGUGGGUGGGUUGACGGUAGCUGGAGAAGAAGCGCCGGCUAACUACGUG